UUAACGAAGAGUUUGAUCCUGGCUCAGGAUUAACGCUGGCGGCGUGUCUAAUACAUGCAAGUCGAGCGCUUCGACGUAAGUCGAGGAGCGGCAGACGGGUGAGUAACACGUUGGAACCUGCCCUGAAGUGAGGGAUAAUCCGCCGAAAGGCGGCCUAAUACCGCAUAUGGCCCCGCAAAACGGGGUUAAAGCAGCAAUGCGCUUCAGGAGGGUCCUGCGGCCUAUCAGCUAGUUGGUGAGGUAAUGGCUCACCAAGGCUAUGACGGGUAGCUGGUCUGAGAGGAUGAUCAGCCACAAUGGGACUGAGACAAGGCCCAUACUCCUACGGGAGGCAGCAGUAAGGAAUCUUUCGCAAUGGGCGAAAGCCUGACGAAGCAACGCCGCGUGAUCGAUGAAGCCCGAAAGGGUGUAAAGAUCUUUUCUGGGGGAAUAAUUCUGAAGGUACCCCAGGAAUAAGCACCGGCUAACUCCGUGCCAGCAGCCGCGGUAAUACGGAGGGUGCAAGCGUUAUCCGGAAUCAUUGGGCGUAAAGAGUUCGUAGGCGGCCUUGUAAGUUGGAUGUUAAAUCUUGAAGCUCAACUUCAAGCUUGUAUCCAAAACUGUAAGGCUAGAGAUUUGCAGAGGUACGUGGAAUUCUGUGUGUAGGGGUAAAAUCCGUUGAUACACAGAGGAACACC
rnacentral:rRNA from 1 species